rnacentral:tRNA from 1 species
UCCUUGGCAGUCCAGUGGUUAGGACUUGGCGCUGUCACUGCCAGGGCCCGGGUUCGAUCCCUGGUCAGGGAA